rnacentral:rRNA from 1 species
GACGAACGCUGGCGGCGUGCUUAACACAUGCAAGUCGAACGGAAAGGCCCUGCUUGCAGGGUGCUCGAGUGGCGAACGGGUGAGUAACACGUGGGUGAUCUGCCCCUUACUUUGGGAUAAGCCUGGGAAACUGGGUCUAAUACUGGAUAGGACCAUGCUGUAGGUGGUGUGGUGGAAAGAUUAGUUUCGGUAAGGGAUGAGCUCGCGGCCUAUCAGCUUGUUGGUGGGGUAAUGGCCUACCAAGGCGUCGACGGGUAGCCGGCCUGAGAGGGUGGACGGCCACAUUGGGACUGAGAUGCGACCCAGACUCCUACGGGAGGCAGCAGUGGGGAAUAUUGCACAAUGGGCGUAAGCCUGAUGCAGAGACGCCGCGUGGGGGAUGACGGCCUUCGGGUUGUAAACUCCGUUCAGCCAUGACGAAGCCCUUGUGGUGACGGUAGUGGUAGAAGAAGCACCGGCUAACUACGUG